rnacentral:rRNA from 1 species
AAGUAUAUGCGUUUUCGGAACGCAGAAACUGCGAACGGCUCAUUACAACAGUCAUGAUCUACUUGACAUUCCCCCUUUUUAUAAGGAUACCUGCGGAAAAGCUGCAGCUAAUACUUGAACGAUGCGUCCCUAAGGCUGUUGCUUUGGGGGCGCGGUAUUUGUUAGCGCCGCAAGAAAAAGGAGAAGAUGGGAGUGCGAACAAAGAAGCGACACGUAUCCAGGGGUGUUCCCCCUGGCAUGAAGUGCGUAUCAAUCGAGUUUCUGACCUAUCAGCUUUGGAUGUUAGGGUAUUGGCCUAGCAUGGCGAUGACGGGUAACGGGGAAUUGGAGUUCGAUUCCGGAGAGGGAGCCUGAGAAAUCGCUACCACAUCUAAGGAAGGCAGCAGGCGCGUAAAUUACCCAAUUCUGACAAAGAGAGGUAGUGACAAGAAAUAACAAGGCACGGUCUUUAUAAGACUGUUUCAUUGCAAUGGUGGGAACCUACAGCCUUCCCAGAGAAGCCAUUGGAGGGCAAGUCUGGUGCCAGCAGCCGCGGUAAUUCCAGCUCCAAUAGCGUAUAUUAACAUUGUUGCAGUUAAAACGCUCGUAGUUGACUUUCAGGGGCGCGGUCCCGCGAUCUCCUGUGUGUACUCUCCGCCUUUGCUUCAUUGCGAGGGUAGGAAAAGGCAUGCAGCUGGGUAUCGCACGCGAUGCGUCCCUUUAGGGAGUGUGUUGGUUCCGGUUCCGUCUUUGUGCGGGAUCGGGGGCAACCUCCCUGUUACUUUGAGUAAAUUAGAGUGUUCAACGCAGGCAACUGCUAGGGGCGACCCGCUUGAAUACUUCAGCAUGGAAUAACGCCAUUGAAGAGGCCCUUUGGGGUUUGUCCAUUUUUCUUGGAAGGGUCUCGAGUUCGGCGGUGUGCACUUCGGUGUGUGCCGUCGAGUACGAUUAAUAGGAGUAGCUUGGGGGCCUUCGUAUUCCGAUGUUAGAGGUGAAAUUCUUAGAUUUUCGGGAGACGAACUACUGCGAACGCAUUGGCCUAACAUACUUCCAUUAAUCAAGAACGAAAGUUAAGGGAUUGAAGACGAUCAGAUACCGUCGUAAUCUUAACCAUAAACUAUGCCGACUGGGCGUCGGGCGGGUUUAUUUUGUGGCGUGCGUGGUUUCGUCCGCCUGCGGGUGUGAGGAGGCGCGCACGCCUUAUACGAACUCCCUCGGUACCCUGCGAGAAAUCAAAGUCUUUGGGUUCUGGGGCGAGUAUUCGCGCAAGCGAGAAAGUUAAAAGAAUUGACGGAAGGGCACCACCAGGCGUGGAGCUUGCGGCUUAAUUUGACUCAACACGGGGAACCUCACUAGUGCCGGACAAGAGUAGGAUUGACAACCCAAUAGGAACUUGGUUCCUACGAUUGAAGCUCUUUCUUGAUUUCUUGGGGGGUGAUGCAUGGCCGUUUUUAGUUCGUGAAAUGAUUUGUCUGGUUAAUUCCGAUAACGAACGAGAUCUCACCCUGCUCAUUAGCAGUGGGUGCAUGAUGCCUCGUUCGGGGGCUUCCGUGCUCCAACGGGGGUACUCCGCCGUCCUCCCCUAUGCGCGUCCUACCCGCCUCGCGCAAGCGUCCCUCCUGGCGUCGCUUCGUACCUUCGCGGGUACGUAGGACCGAGGAUCUGGGAACUUGGUGAGGUGGGUGCGUGUGUGGGUGCGAGCGCACGUUGCGGUACCUGUUGGGUAGUCGCGGGGGUUGUCGACGGGGCGCAUCCAUGAAAUGCUUCUUAGAGGGACUGGGGGUGCAGAAUCCCAGGAAGUGUGAGGCCACAACAGGUCUGUGAUGUCCUUAGAUGUGCUGGGCUGCACGCGUGCUACACUGAUGCGUGCAUCGAGCGAACGGGCCGCCUCCUGCUUCUUUUCCUGUGGGGGUGUUUGCUUUCGGGUGGGCAUUUCCAUAGGGGGAAGUGUUGGGGGUGUGGCCUGCCUGCUCCGAGAGGAGUGGGGAAUCUGGAAUACGCAUCGUGAUGGGGAUCGACGAUUGCAAUUAUUCGUCUUGAACGAGGAAUGCCUAGUAAGCAUGAUUCAUCAGAUUGUGCUGACUACGUCCCUGCCCUUUGUACACACCGCCCGUCGCUCCUACCGAUUGAAAGAUAUGAUGAAUUGUUCGGACCGUCGUGCUGUAAGGGGCGUGCCUCUGAGCGGGAUGGGAAGAACCGUAAAUCCUAUCUUUUAAAGGAAG